rnacentral:rRNA from 1 species
AUACGGAGGAUGCAAGCGUUAUCCGGAUUUAUUGGGUUUAAAGGGUGCGUAGGCGGUUUGCUAAGCGGGAGGUGAAAUGCCGGCGCUCAACGUCGGAAGUGCCUCCCGAACUGGUGGACUUGAAUGACUCUGCCGUGGGAGGAAUGUGUAGUGUAGCGGUGAAAUGCUUAGAGAUUACACAGAACACCGAUUGCGAAGGCAUCUCACGAAGGGUUGAUUGACGCUGAGGCACGAAAGCGUGGGGAUCAAACAGGAUUAGAUACCCUGGUAGUCCACGCUGUAAACGAUGAUGACUAACUGUCGGCGAUAUACAGUCGGUAGCCAAGCGAAAGCGAUAAGUCAUCCACCUGGGGAGUACGACCGCAAGGUUGAAACUCAAAUGAAUUGACGGGG